GCGCCCAUAGCUCAACGGAUAGAGUGUUGGCCUGCGAAGCCGAAGAUCCAGGUUCAAUUCCUGGUGGGCGCACCA
rnacentral:tRNA from 1 species